rnacentral:rRNA from 1 species
CCUACGGGAGGCAGCAGUGGGGGAUAUUGCACAAUGGGGGAAACCCUGAUGCAGCGACGCCGCGUGUGGGAAGACGGUCCUCUGGAUUGUAAACCACUGUCCCCAGGGACGAAGAUGACGGUACCUGGGGCGGAAGCUCCGGCUAACUACGUGCCAGCAGCCGCGGUAAUACGUAGGGAGCGAGCGUUGUCCGGAAUUACUGGGUGUAAAGGGAGCGUAGGCGGGACUGCAAGUUGGGUGUCAAAUCUACCGGCUCAACCGGUAGCCGCACUCAAAACUGGAGUCCUUGAGUGAAGUAGAGGCAGGCGGAAUUCCUAGUGUAGCGGUGAAAUGCGUAGAUAUUAGGAGGAACACCAGUGGCGAAGGCGGCCUGCUGGGCUUUGACUGACGCUGAGGCUCGAAAGUGUGGGGAGCAAACAGGAUUAGAUACCCGAGUAGUC